GAUGAACGCUGGCGGCUUGCUUAACACAUGCAAGUCGAACGGUGAACACGGAGCUUGCUCUGUGGGAUCAGUGGCGAACGGGUGAGUAACACGUGAGCAACCUGCCCCUGACUCUGGGAUAAGCGCUGGAAACGGCGUCUAAUCCUGGAUAUGUGACGUUAUCGCAUGUUCUGCGUCUGGAAAGAAUUUCGGUUGGGGAUGGGCUCGCGGCCUAUCAGCUUGUUGGUGAGGUAAUGGCUCACCAAGGCGUCGACGGGUAGCCGGCCUGAGAGGGUGACCGGCCACACUGGGACUGAGACACGGCCCAGACUCCUACGGGAGGCAGCAGUGGGGAAUAUUGCACAAUGGGCGCAAGCCUGAUGCAGCAACGCCGCGUGAGGGAUGACGGCCUUCGGGUUGUAAACCUCUUUUAGCAGGGAAGAAGCGAAAGUGACGGUACCUGCAGAAAAAGCGCCGGCUAACUACGUG
rnacentral:rRNA from 1 species